AGUGGAAGCGUCUGGAAAGGCGCGCGAUACAGGGUGACAGCCCCGUACACAAAAGCGCAUGUGCUGUGAGCUCGAUGAGUAGGGCGGGACACGUGGUAUCCUGUCUGAAUAUGGGGGGACCAUCCUCCAAGGCUAAAUACUCCUGACUGACCGAUAGUGAACCAGUACCGUGAGGGAAAGGCGAAAAGAACCCCGGCGAGGGGAGUGAAAAAGAACCUGAAACCGUGUACGUACAAGCAGUGGGAGCACCCUUUGGGUGUGACUGCGUACCUUUUGUAUAAUGGGUCAGCGACUUAUAUUCUGUAGCAAGGUUAACCGAAUAGGGGAGCCGGAGGGAAACCGAGUCUUAACCGGGCGUUAAGUUGCAGGGUAUAGACCCGAAACCCGGUGAUCUAGCCAUGGGCAGGUUGAAGGUUGGGUAACACUAACUGGAGGACCGAACCGACUAAUGUUGAAAAAUUAGCGGAUGACCUGUGGCUGGGGGUGAAAGGCCAAUCAAACCGGGAGAUAGCUGGUUCUCCCCGAAAGCUAUUUAGGUAGCGCCUCGUGAAUUCAUCUCCGGGGGUAGAGCACUGUUUCGGCUAGGGGGCCAUCCCGGCUUACCAACCCGAUGCAAACUGCGAAUACCGGAGAAUGUUAUCACGGGAGACACACGGCGGGUGCUAACGUCCGUCGUGAAGAGGGAAACAACCCAGACCGCCAGCUAAGGUCCCAAAGUCAUGGUUAAGUGGGAAACGAUGUGGGAAGGCCCAGACAGCCAGGAUGUUGGCUUAGAAGCAGCCAUCAUUUAAAGAAAGCGUAAUAGCUCACUGGUCGAGUCGGCCUGCGCGGAAGAUGUAACGGGGCUAAACCAUG
rnacentral:rRNA from 1 species